GAAACGACUGCUAAGACUGGAUAGGAGAUAAGAAGGCAUCUUUUUAUUUUUAAAAGACCUAGCAAUAGGUAUGCUUAGGGAAGAGCUUGCGUCACAUUAGUUAGUUGGUGGGGUAAUGGCCUACCAAGACGAUGAUGUGUAGCCGGGCUGAGAGGUCGAACGGCCACAUUGGGACUGAGACACGGCCCAAACUCCUACGGGAGGCAGCAGUAAGGAAUUUUCGGCAAUGGAGGAAACUCUGACCGAGCAAUGCCGCGUGAACGAUGAAGUAUUUCGGUACGUAAAGUUCUUUUAUUAGGGAAGAAAAGAUGGUGGAAAAACCAUUAUGACGGUACCUAAUGAAUAAGCCCCGGCUAACUAUGUGCCAGCAGCCGCGGUAAUACAUAGGGGGCAAGCGUUAUCCGGAAUUAUUGGGCGUAAAGGGUGCGUAGGCGGUUAAAUAAGUUUAUGGUCUAAGUGCAACGCUCAACGUUGUGAUGCUAUAAAAACUGUUUAGCUAGAGUUGGAUAGAGGCAAGUGGAAUUCCGUGUGUAGUGGUAAAAUGCGUAAAUAUACGGAGGAACACCAGAAGCGAAGGCGGCUUGCUGGGUCUUAACUGACGCUGAGGCACGAAAGCGUGGGGAGCAAACAGGAUUAGAUACCCUGGUAGUCCACGCCCUAAACGAUGAGUACUAAACGUUGGAUAAAACCAGUGUUGAAGUUAACACAUUAAGUACUCCGCCUGAGUAGUACGUACGCAAGUAUGAAACUUAAAGGAAUUGACGGGACUCCGCACAAGCGGUGGAUCAUGUUGUUUAAUUCGAAGGUACCCGAAAAACCUCACCAGGUCUUGACAUGCUUUUGCAAAGCUGUAGAAAUACAGUGGAGGUUAUCAGAAGCACAGGUGGUGCAUGGUUGUCGUCAGCUCGUGUCGUGAGAUGUUGGGUUAAGUCCCGCAACGAGCGCAACCCUUGUUGUUAAUUGCCAUCAUUAAGUUGGGGACUUUAGCAAGACUGCCAAUGAUAAAUUGGAGGAAGGUGGGGACGACGUCAAAUCAUCAUGCCCCUUAUGACCUGGGCUACAAACGUGAUACAAUGGCUGUUACAAAGGGUAGCUAAAGUGUAAGCUUCUGGCGAAUCUCAAAAAAGCAGUCUCAGUUCGGAUUGAAGUCUGCAACUCGACUUCAUGAAGUUGGAAUCGCUAGUAAUCGCGAAUCAGCAUGUCGCGGUGAAUACGUUCUCGGGGUUUGUACACACCGCCCGUCA
rnacentral:rRNA from 1 species